AAAGCAUUUUCAGUAAUGGAUGGAGAAAUAUUAAAGUUGGUUUAUGAUACACCGGUCUUUGAAUUGAGAGAAGCUCUCAUAGGAAAAUAUGGAGAAAUCUCAAAGUUGGUUUAUGAUAUUGCUGAUAAGGGUGGGGAGCUCUGUUCUUGGAGGUCUGACUUGACAGUUCCAUUUUCUAGAUUUGCAGAUAUGGAUGGUCUGCCAUCUUUAAAAAGUUUAUUCAUUGAAGAAUCUCAAGCUGGCAUUAAAAUAUCUCCUCAAGAUAGUAGUUACUAUGGACAAAAUGAUAGAAAGUUCAUGAACAGACGGAGCAAUUGCAAGAGGAGCUUGGACGUGUGAAUGCAGAGAACCAAAAGCUGAAGGAAAUGCUGAGUGACAUGAACAGUAGCUACACAAACUUGCAUAAGCGUUUUAUAUCCUUAAUGCAACAGCAACAGAACCAAACCACAGAACAUGAUCAGAUUGUCAAAGGAAAAGCUGAGGAGAAAGGAGAUGGUGUGGUGGCUAGAAAGUUCAUGAAUGGUCCAGCAGCAGAAGUAGAUGAUCAGCAAGAGCCUGAACCAUGCACACCUCAGAACAAUCAUAAAGAGCCUGAUCCGGACGCAUCAGAACUAGUACAACUUUUGGACCCAAGUCAGCUUCCCAGAUUAAACCCCUCCAACGCUGCUGAUCAAGCCAAUGCAGAAGCCACUAUGAGAAAAGCACGAGUCUCAGUCCGUGCUAGAUCAGAAGCCCACAUGGUAUAGUAUAUUAGUGUGCAUCGAUAAUAGAAAUCUAAUUCAAUUAUAUCAUUGAUUACUUAUAGCUGAAUUGAUUAACUAAUUGAUCACAAUUGCAGAUCAACGAUGGAUGCCAAUGGCGAAAAUACGGACAAAAAAUGGCUAAAGGAAACCCUUGUCCUCGUGCGUAUUAUAGAUGCACAAUGGCUCUUGGUUAAGUAUAUAUUUUGGAGUUCUUCAUUGCAGGAAGGAAGUAGAUGGAGGCAUUACUUUAAUUAAGUAUAUCUUCCCAACAUAUUGUUAGUUUAGCUUGUUAAGUUCAUGUACAUUUAUACUUUUUUGCUUUCUUUUUAAUGAGUCGGGCCCAUCUGUCUUUCUUCUAACUGUAUUAUUUACUUUUGGUGCUUUUAACUACAGUGUGUCUAUAUUAGGAAUUGGUUUCAAUUUGUGUAUAGUGAUCUUAAUAUUAAUAAGAAUUUGAGAUUGAAUCAAUUGUUUGUGUUUUACU